CUGAACAACAACCUUCGCAAAGGCUGCAACUUCCAGCAAGAUAUUCAGACUGGAUGUGCUUCCUGCCCAGCACUUGGCAGACCCACUGCUGGACGCAGAUGAUCUCCUCUGGCUGGAGCCUCCCAGGGUCCACAGGUGGGGCUCCUCACAGCUCAGGCUGGGAAGGAAGACCACGGCAGCCUCUGCCCAUGGACGUGGUGACCAUGAGCCAACCAUGGGGGACCUCAGCAAGACCAGAAGGUGGGGGAGAGCUCAGUGUGCUGAGGGCUUUCAUUUUCCUCAUUUCUUAAAGAGAUUUAG
ensembl:lncRNA